rnacentral:rRNA from 1 species
GGCGGACGGGUGAGUAAUGUCUGGGAAACUGCCUGAUGGAGGGGGAGUAACUACUGGAAACGGUAGCUAAUACCGCAUAACGUCGCAAGACCAAAGAGGGGGACCUUCGGGCCUCUUGCCAUCGGAUGUGCCCAGAUGGGAUUAGCUAGUAGGUGGGGUAACGGCUCACCUAGGCGACGAUCCCUAGCUGGUCUGAGAGGAUGACCAGCCACACUGGAACUGAGACACGGUCCAGACUCCUACGGGAGGGCAGCAUG